rnacentral:rRNA from 1 species
GGAUGAACGCUGGCGGCGUGCUUAACACAUGCAAGUCGAACGGGAUCCAUCAAGCUUGCUUGGUGGUGAGAGUGGCGAACGGGUGAGUAAUGCGUGACCGACCUGCCCCAUACACCGGAAUAGCUCCUGGAAACGGGUGGUAAUGCCGGAUGCUCCAGUUGAUCGCAUGGUCUUCUGGGAAAGCUUUCGCGGUAUGGGAUGGGGUCGCGUCCUAUCAGCUUGACGGCGGGGUAACGGCCCACCGUGGCUUCGACGGGUAGCCGGCCUGAGAGGGCGACCGGCCACAUUGGGACUGAGAUACGGCCCAGACUCCUACGGGAGGCAGCAGUGGGGAAUAUUGCACAAUGGGCGCAAGCCUGAUGCAGCGACGCCGCGUGAGGGAUGGAGGCCUUCGGGUUGUAAACCUCUUUUAUCGGGGAGCAAGCGAGAGUGAGUUUACCCGUUGAAUAAGCACCGGCUAACUACGUGCCAGCAGCCGCGGUAAUACGUAGGGUGCAAGCGUUAUCCGGAAUUAUUGGGCGUAAAGGGCUCGUAGGCGGUUCGUCGCGUCCGGUGUGAAAGUCCAUCGCUUAACGGUGGAUCCGCGCCGGGUACGGGCGGGCUUGAGUGCGGUAGGGGAGACUGGAAUUCCCGGUGUAACGGUGGAAUGUGUAGAUAUCGGGAAGAACACCAAUGGCGAAGGCAGGUCUCUGGGCCGUUACUGACGCUGAGGAGCGAAAGCGUGGGGAGCGAACAGGAUUAGAUACCCUGGUAGUCCACGCCGUAAACGGUGGAUGCUGGAUGUGGGGCCCGUUCCACGGGUUCCGUGUCGGAGCUAACGCGUUAAGCAUCCCGCCUGGGGAGUACGGCCGCAAGGCUAAAACUCAAAGAAAUUGACGGGGGCCCGCACAAGCGGCGGAGCAUGCGGAUUAAUUCGAUGCAACGC